AGAAUCAACGCUGGCGGCGCGCCUAACACAUGCAAGUCGAACGAGAAAGGGGAGCAAUCCCUGAGUACAGUGGCGUACGGGCGAGUAACACGUGGGUAAUCUACCUCUUUGAGUGGAAUAACCCUGGGAAACCGGGGCUAAUACCGCAUAAGCCUGAGAAGGGAAAGUCGCAAGACGCAGAGAGAGGAGCCCGCGGCCGAUUAGCUAGUUGGUGAGGUAAAAGCCCACCAAGGCAGAGAUCGGUAGCCGGCCUGAGAGGGCACACGGCCACACUGGCACUGAAACACGGGCCAGACUCCUACGGGAGGCAGCAGUGGGGAAUCUUGCACAAUGGGGGGAAACCCUGAUGCAGCGACGCCGCGUGAGCGAUGAAGCCCUUCGGGGUGUAAAGCUCUUUCGGCAGGGAAGAUCAUGACGGUACCUGCAGAAGCAGCUGCGGCUAACUACGCGCCAGCAGCCGCGGUAA
rnacentral:rRNA from 1 species